rnacentral:lncRNA from 1 species
GGAGCAAGAAAUCGAUCCUCAUUCAAUAUGGCUAACGCAUUUGCAAGAAGUAGAAAACCCUCAAGCAAUGUCCACAAUCCCAUCCCUGCAGAAUAUGUUUCUACUAUUUCAGUAAGGUAUAGGUUGUCUGAAUUAAAUAAAAGGUGCAAAUCACAUUAAUUCAACCAACUUGUUGAACAAUUGUCCGAGCUUCUUGAGUUUCUUUAAAUUGCAAAACAACCUUGGAAGCAAAAGCACAGUAAACAAAAGACAGUUGAACAUAUCAUCUCACCAGAUGGCUGGCUUAAUUAGAUAAUAUUACUCUUCUCAAAGUUUGAAGAUUUCAUGGAUUCUUUUGGAGAAAAUAGGAAAAUACAAACAUAGCACAGUGGCAUGCAGAGGAGCUUCCAGAUAUCAAAGAUGUACCCAUAAUAAAUUUACUUUCUUAGCAUUUUGGUACCACCUUCAACAUAGUUGGAGAAGAUAAACAGCAUGUCCUAUAAAAAUGGAUAAAAUCUAACCUACCAAUAAUCUGAAAGGAGAGAUGAUAUGUCCAACUGUAAUGAGAAUCCACUAACAUGGUCCACGAUAAAAUGUAGAUAAUCCAACACCAUCAAAAAGGGGGAAGUAAAAUUAAAUCCAAAUUGUGCGAAGAAACCUGAGGAUGCCAAAAGUUACCACAAGGCACAAAGGCAUAACCAUAGCAACAGAAGCAUAAGGCACAAACCAGGCCUCAAUAAAGAAGAUACCAGAAUCAGAAAUACAACACCCUUCCUACCCCCUUGAACUCUCGCCAUGAGAACAGCCAAGCAACAGAAAGCUGGCAUUCCUUAGCCCUUUUUCCAACUUCUUUGCCAUUGUCAAGGCACAUAAACUCCAGGCGGAAGAUCCAGUUUAUUCCUACUGCCCUGAUUGUCAAUCAGAAGUGCAUGAGGAUAUCUUCUGAUUAUUCUAGUGGGCUAAAACCAAAAUCACAGAACACAAAGGCAAGUCCACAUUUUGGUUGGGGAGGAAAAGACCUACAAAAAUAACAGUGCACGCAGUCUUCUCAUUCCUAGUAAAGAAAAGGAAAAGAAAGCUUGAACCUCACACCAAUAUCCUGAAAUUUCUAGCAAGUGAAAACAACGCACUGUGUCAAAGCCCACAAAUGCUUAAACUUCAUUGAAUUUAGUUAAGAAAUAGCCAAUAGCAUCCCCUGUCAGCAACUUAAGUCUACCCAGGUUUCAUAGUAAACUCAUUUUAUCUGUUUUAUUUCCAAAGUCUUGAAUGUCCCCGAUACUAAACAAUUUAACUUCCACUGAAAGCUUCACUUAAUUCAGUUUCCUAUCAGGUUCUAUGAAAUUCCUCCUCAAUAUGCAACAUCGCACUGUCCUUCGAUUUCCAAAGCCCAAACAGCCACAUCUUAAUGGGAAAUAUGAAAACCAUCUAGAAUUGGAACACCAAGUCAUCCUUAGAAAAGAUGCUCUCAGAGAUGCCAGGCUCAUGGAUUGCACCCUUGGACAAUGCAAAAGGUAUGCAAAUAGGGUGUUUAGUGAGACAUCUUAUGAAAAAAAAGAAUCCCAAGCUUGCAGAGAAUAGCCUUAGGAGAAAGAACUUAAAACUUCCAUUCAAAUUUGAUGAGCAGAAUUAGGGCAAGCAUCUCAAAUUCUAUAUAUUUUAUAUCUUGUUGGCUAGCCACCAGAAUCAUUUUUAGCAAUGUUAAUUCAUGUUUCUUUACAAUCUCAAACCAACAAACUUUGAGCUUCACUUUUGUAAAGAACAAUCUAAUAAAUCAAAUAAAUUUCAUUACCUUCUAAGUUGCCUCCAUUGACCUUAGGAUUGAUCCUGUUUACCAACUUGCCCAAGACUGUAAUUGUUGACUGAACAUUGCCUUAGGAUGCGUUUCCACUUUAUUCCCAGUUUUUGACAUUUCUGUCCCAUAAGCUUUUCAUUGAACUCAAUUUUAUAUGCAUCAUUAUUUUAUUGAGUAAACCAAUAUAUAAAACCAAAUUAUGGAGGACUAAGAGGAACUACAUUUAUGAUAACACAACCUCCCAGCGAAAUGUAAAAAAUCUCAAACAUAGCUUCAGUAGAAGUGUAUUCUGUCACACAGAACGACAUAACUAGAAAACUCAUAGGCAUCUCAGUUAGAACUUGCUAGCAACACAAAUUAAGAAUGAGAUAAAGAGCGCCAUCUUCACUAUCUGCCCCAAUGUAGUCCUAUCUUCAAACCUGAUACCAAGUUGAAUCUGUAUUUUUAACAAAGAGGAGAUCCAAACAGCUUUUAUUUCAAACUAAAUCUGCCCCACUAAAAAUAAUAGUAGGAUAUCUUUAAAAGUUGAAAUUUUGAACGUAGGAACAAGAAUUUCAUAUUAUCCUUACAUACCAAGAGAUACUAGCUAUCACGCUUAUUUUACAUCAAAAACCCUAACUUUCUUCAACUAUAGUUGUAAACCACGAACCCUAUAGUCAAAAAAUCCUCCAUAUUACGGGACCAAUCAAAUCUCUUCAUCUAUUUCAAAACAAAAGAAGGUGAAGACUAGGAAGCAUUGAUGCGAAGCUGAGAUCUAAUCGUCGUAUAGAAGAAACGAAAACCCUAGGCCUCUCGAUCGAUUCCAUGAUAGAGGAAAAGAGGCAGAAGAGACGAAAAGGGACUAGAUUCCAUCGGCGAAGCGUACCUUUAGAGAAGUAGAGAGGAGAGCAGCGGGGCCGCUACCAGAGAUUUACCGGGGCGCUGCUUCGACUCCGCCUGUUCACUUCGUCGGUAGUCGGAUCGGAGGAGCGUUCUUGGAACGAAAGCCGAGUUAUUCAACUGAGCUAAUUUCAAAGGCCCAGCGUUUUUUUAUGCGAAAGAAUACUUUUAAUACUCUUUCAUAUGUCUGACCCAAAUUGGUCGAGAUUCGCCCAUCCGGCAUUGCGAUACCAUUCAACCCAUUUAAUUUGUUUCGUCCGCUGUGGAUCGAGUUAGAUUAUUUAUUUAGUAAAAUGGUAGAUUCAAAUUUUAAUUUUUAAUUUAUUUAAUAAAUAAAUCAAGUUUGGAUAAAUAGUUUUUUUGAGCUAUUCUGUAUCUGACUUGAUUUGUAUCUUAUCCGAUCCAACCAAAUUGUCAUCCCUACUCCAGC